GACAGAGGAUGCAAGCGUUAUCCGGAAUGAUUGGGCGUAAAGCGUCUGUAGGUGGCUUUUUAAGUCCGCCGUCAAAUCCCAGGGCUCAACCCUGAACAUGCGGUGGAAACUAGAAAGCUUGAGUACAGUAGGGGCGGAGGGAAUUUCCGGUGGAGCGGUGAAAUGCAUAGAUAUCGGGAAGAACACCAACGGCGAAAGCACUCUGCUGGGCCGACACUGACACUGAGAGACGAAAGCUAGGGGAGCGAAUGGG
rnacentral:rRNA from 1 species